rnacentral:rRNA from 1 species
ACGGAAGGCAGCAGUCGGGAAUAUUGCGCAAUGGAGGAAACUCUGACGCAGUGACGCCGCGUAUAGGAAGAAGGUUUUCGGAUUGUAAACUAUUGUCGAUAGGGAAGAAACAAGACAGUACCUAUCAAGAAAGCUCCGGCUAACUACGUGCCAGCAGCCGCGGUAAUACGUAGGGAGCAAGCGUUAUCCGGAUUUAUUGGGUGUAAAGGGUGCGUAGACGGGAAAUUAAGUUAGUUGUGAAAUCCCUCGGCUCAACUGAGGAACUGCAACUAAAACUGAUUUUCUUGAGUGCAGGAGAGGAAAGUGGAAUUCCUAGUGUAGCGGUGAAAUGCGUAGAUAUUAGGAGGAACACCAGUGGCGAAGGCGACUUUCUGGACUGUAACUGACGUUGAGGCACGAAAGUGUGGGGAGCAAACAGGAUUAGAUACCCUGGUA